rnacentral:ncRNA from 2 species
CAUUGUUCUCAGGGCGGGGCGAAAUUCCCCACCGGCGGUAAAGGUAGCGAUGCCAAGCCCGCGAGCGCCCUCGGUCUCCGAGGGGUCAGCAGAUCCGGUGCAAUUCCGGAGCCGACGGUCAUAGUCCGGAUGAAAGAGAACGGGA